UACGUAGGGUGCAAGCGUUGUCCGGAAUUAUUGGGCGUAAAGAGCUCGUAGGCGGCUCGUCGCGUCGGCUGUGAAAGCCUGGGGCUCAACCCCGGGCCUGCAGCCGAUACGGGCAGGCUAGAGUUCGGCAGGGGAGACUGGAAUUCCUGGUGUAGCGGUGAAAUGCGCAGAUAUCAGGAGGAACACCGGUGGCGAAGGCGGGUCUCUGGGCCGAUACUGACACUGAGGAGCGAAAGCGUGGGGAGCGAACAGG
rnacentral:rRNA from 1 species